CUAAAAUGAAUGGACACGAGGAGAGUGGACAACCUUGUCACAUUCCCAACUUUAGUGAAAUUUCUUUGAGUUUCUCUCCAUUUAAUUUGAUGGUGGCUACUGUAACAUUCAUUGAGCUAUCAGGAGUCUAGAGUAUCUGAACCUCUAGAAGGUCAUUGAGCCCUGAGAAGGAGGUCGGAAGAAGAUGUCCCAUUUCAGACUGAAUUGUUCCAGUAUCUCUCGCUCUCUGUCCAACUGUGAGUCUCUGAAUUAGUUCUCACCUAAAGCAGCUCACUUGUGCACUUACAGAGAGAUUCUGAAACAGUCUUGUAGAAGUUCCAGCAAUCAAAAGAAUCAUCUGACCUAACCAAGGAAGGAUAAAGGCAAGAUUUUUUUCUUCAUUUUUAAUUUUAAGCAAGAA